AUUCCAUGGAGAGGACAUUUUGAUAUGUAUCCUUUAAAACGCUUCCAUGCUUCUGGAAUGGUUUCUGUCUUCUAUUGUUUAAAGCAGAUGAUCUUUCUUCUUAAGACA
rfam:Sorghum bicolor cultivar BTx623 chromosome 7, whole genome shotgun sequence.